CAUGCUUCGAUUACUGUGACAGAUAAUGUCAAGAACUUCUUUCCUGGCAGGGUAGAUUCUGAUGUGGACUAAAAUUGAUUUGUGUAGUUAUCGCCCUGUGGUCUGUGGAAAAGUAAACAUCGAGACCAAAAUAAUCUCUCUACCUAUGGACGCAGGAGUAGUGAAAGGAGAUGCACCACCCCUGGCCUUUGGCACUGUGUGUCAGGUUGGGGCCAUAGCCUUACUCUUGGGAGUGGGCAAACCCUAUCAUCAGGCCCCGUGCGGAGGGAGUCAUCUCCUCCACCGCCCAGGACUCUUUACACACGGAAGAAUACCACCUUUUGGCAGAGGCAAGAGCACUUCAUGUUAGUGACGCUUCAUGUGAUGGAGGAUAAAGGGACAACACUCUUCUCUCCUGGCGUCCGGUAAUUUUCAUCAUUUUAGAAUAAAAGGAAGGUGCCGUCAAGACAAACGAGGAGUUAUUCUUAGUUUUGGCAAGUCCUAAAACAGUGAUACGGGGGCUGAAGAGUUCACGUGGAGUAGAAAGUUAUUGCCAAGCUGCCAUGCCAUGAAGACACUCAAGCAGCCCUAUGAAAAGGUCCACUUGGGGAGGAACUGAGACCUCUUGCCAACAACCAUGUGAGUAACCCGUCUUGGAAGACGAUCCACCAACCCCAGUCAAGGCUUCAGAUGACUGUCACUCCAGCCAACAUCUUGACUACGACCUCAUGAGAGACUCUGUGCCAGAACCACCCAGCUAAGCUGCUCCUGAAUUCCUGACCCCCAGAAACUGAGAUAAUAAAUGUUUAUUAUUUUGAGCCACAA